rnacentral:rRNA from 1 species
UGCGUAGGUGGCGGGGUAAGUUGGAUGUGAAAUCCUGGGGCUCAACCCUAGAACUGCAUUCAAUACUGCCUUGCUAGAGUACUGGAGAGGAGAUUGGAAUUUACGGUGUAGCAGUGAAAUGCGUAGAUAUCGUAAGGAAGACCGGUGGCGAAGGCGGAUCUCUGGACAGUUACUGACACUGAGGCACGAAGGGCCAGGGGAAGGCAAAACG